rnacentral:misc_RNA from 1 species
GAAAUUAAUUUAAUGCUUUAAGGAGAAAAUUACUUGUUUGAAGAGGAGAUAUUUUGGGAAACUAUUGAAUAAACCCAGUGCAAUAGUGCACCAGAAUGUCAUAAACAAGUGGGGUCCUCCCGAAAAUAUGAAGAUUGGACCCACAUGAAUGUGAGAGAGGAACUUGUGCAUUUUGUGCACUAAAUAAUCUCCCGAAUAUUUUAGAAAUCUAUUAGGCCUUAUGCUGUAUAUUAUAGAAAUGGAUUGUCAUUAUUACAGAAGUUUCUGUGUUUUGAAGAAUUUUUAAAUAACUCCUUUCCUUUAUCUUUGAUUGAGCUUACAUAAUACCGCUUAUUGCAAGCAAUACACCCUUAAUUCCUUUGUGUGUUUUUCAUUCAGCAUUCUGAUAUAGAAUAAAACUUGAUUGUAGUGUCGGAACUUUGCUCUUUUCCCUUUCUCUCUACCCUUCACCUCCCCAACCCAGUUUUUAUCUGAAAUGGAUACACCUAACUGCUUUUCAUUUAGUUUAUCUUGUAUCAUUGUAUGAUUUAUAUAUAGUGAUGGUUUUGAACAAACAAUAUUUUUACUUUUAUACUUCAACAAACACUUAACUUCUUCAUUUGCAUUGCAAUGUAAUGCUUCGGAAAUAUUGACAUAAAAAGGAAGUCUAGGAAUUAUUCUCAGCCUGUCCUAUAUUAGUUAGUCAAUUUAUUUGUCAAAGGUCAUUGACGUGAUUUUACAUUAUUUGCUUGUAGGGUCAUGUGGAGGAUGUGAGACG